AGAAUCAACGCUGGCGGCGUGCCUAACACAUGCAAGUCGAACGAGAAAGGGUAGCAAUACCUGAGUAAAGUGGCGCACGGGUGAGUAACACGUGACUAACCUACCUUUUAGUGGGGGAUAACCUAGGGAAACCUGGGCUAAUACCGCAUAAUACCUACGGGUCAAAGCAGCAAUGCGCUGAAUGAGGGGGUCGCGGUCGAUUAGUUAGUUGGCAGGGUAAUGGCCUACCAAGACUGUGAUCGAUAUCCGGCCUGAGAGGGCGCACGGACACACUGGAACUGAAACACGGUCCAGACUCCUACGGGAGGCAGCAGUGGGAAUUUUGCGCAAUGGGGGAAACCCUGACGCAGCAACGCCGCGUGGAGGAUGAAGUCCCUUGGGACGUAAACUCCUUUCGAUCGGGACGAUAAUGACGGUACCGGAAGAAGAAGCCCCGGCUAACUUCGUCGCCAGCAGCCGC
rnacentral:rRNA from 1 species